AUACUUUUGUGAGCCAAAAAGUGGACUAACAAGUUUCUUUCUUGAUGAUUCUUCCUCCAACAUCUUCAUCAUCAGUUUCGGUAUCUUCAGCAUCAGAUUCCAUAACUACCUUGUUAAGAAAGCUUUCCUUUUCUUCUUCCUCGCUGAAUUCCAUUGAGUCAUAUCCCAUAACCUUUCUUGUUAGCUCUUCCUUCAAAUAAGUACCACUCUCAUGAAUCGAAGCUUUGGCCUUAAACAAGUAGAUCGACGUCUGCUAGAAAGAAGGUCUUAAAAGUGAAAAGAAGAAAAGGUUAGGGAGCAAAUCUGAAGCUUCUACCUUUAAUAUAUCAAAAUGUCAAACAUAACCUUAUUGCUUUUAUUCUUUCCUUUUUUAUUCUUUCCUUUUGCCAUUGUUAGUUGAGCUAGAGUACACAUGAAAGUGGCAAAACUUGUUCUAAACUUUGAAAACUAUAGAAUUUGUUACUGAAAAUUCUUAGUUUCUCUGUUUCAUAAUAUCUGUUAUGUUCUUUUACAAAGAUUCAAAAUCCAUUAAAUAUUGAGUAUACACAUAUUAUUACAUAUAACAAAUAACUUUAAUAUUUAUAUAUUGCCACUCUAAAGUUUUUACAUAAUAUAUCAUUCAUUAUUCAUUUAUAUUACUAUUGUUAUUUAAGAGUUAAUAAUAAUUAUCAUAUAUAUAGUAGAUAAUGCAUUAACAAUAUAAAAAUACUUAGGUGCAUACAUAUUAAUUCCAUAACUAUUUACGUUAGAAAGUAUAUUUUGGGAUAUAAUAUAACAUCUAUGCAAUAUUGAUAUAAAAAUUUAUAUAUAAUCAAUACAUCAAUUUCACUUAUAUCGCAUAUAUUUAAAAGUCAUUAAUGAUCAAAUACAAUUUAUAAUUGAAACAAUAAUAAGAUAAAAUUUUCUUUCCACUAUUAGUAGAUAUAUUUUUCUUUCCCUAUUAUACAUGAGAAUUCAUAUGAGCAAAACACAUUAUUGUUAGACAAACAAAUAAAUAAAAAAAAUUGUUUUUUCGCAAUUAAAUAAUUAAAGACAUAACUAAAAAAGUUAGGAUAUAUACUAACUAGUUCAUGUAAUCAAUGAAGAUACCAUCUUAGUAUAGGCGAACCAGAGCAUAACAAACCAACAAUUUUCAAAUUUAGACAAAAAAGAGGGUUAUAUGUGUUUUGUGUCUAAAAAUAUAAUGACGACUUCAUUUUUCUUUAAGAAUAAUGGAAGAUAUUCUAGCUCUCUUCCCAUUUUGUGUCCAUAAAUCGGAUCAAGAUGCUAUCCAAACUACCAUUUUAACCAAAGUAAAUUCAACCAUCCCUAGUUAGUUGAAUGUGUCAAAGUUGUUGGUAAUUUACCUUAUAUUUAGGAAGAAGUUGUUUGUUGUUAUUUGUGAUCACGUAAGACUGCUGCUAUCUUUUAGGAGUUUUAGUUGAGUUAGGAGUCUAUUUAAAUUGUUCUUUUCAGUUGUUAUGAUGUGUGAAUUUUAUUUAUUGAUUCAAUAAAAUUAUAUUUGCUUAUAUUUCCUUUAUUUGUCAUCCUACCUUCUAAUUUACACGUGGUAUCAGAGCUAGGUUCAGAAAACCCCUUUCCAACCCCAUUCAAAUGACCAAAAAUAAUAAUUUUGUUCAGCCUUCAAUACAUCGCUUUGAUGGGCACUAUUAUGAUCAUUGGAGCAUGUCAAUGGAGAACUUCAUAAGGUCCAAGGAGUAUUGAGCUAUAGAAUCAGGAUAUCUUGAUUUAGUUGCAGGUGCAACUAAGGUGCAAAAGUUUGAGGCAGACAACUUGAAGUUGAAGGAUUUGAAUGCCAAAAACUAUCUCUUCCAAGCUAUUGAUAGAGUUGUGCUUGAGACUAUCUUGCACAAGGAGACAUAAAAGCAGAUUUGAGAUUCUCUAAAGAAGAAAUUCCAAGGAAAUGCUAGAGCCUAGAGGCAAAAUUGAAGAUCACCCUAAACCCUAAACUUUGUAUCCUAAAAGAAAUAAUUGAAGGAUCUACUUAAAAAUUCUUAAUUAGUCUAUUUUAUGGUAUCUUUUUUUCAUCAUGUUGAUAAUAGAAGAAGAAAGAAAAAUAUUAGAUGUUUAAACGUCACUUCAAAGAACGAGAUGAGGAUCGUUUUUUACAAUAAAACAAUAUCAAAUAAAGGAGUCACUAUCAUUGAAAAUGUAUUGAGAUCCUUGACCACACAAUUUAAUUUUGUUGUUGCAGCCAUAUAAGAAUCACAUGAUCUGGAUGAGAUGACAAUUGAUGAGUUGCAAAACUCAUAACAUAUUCAUGAGCAGAAAAUUGAAAGACAAGAUAAGGAUGGGCAUUUUUUGCAGGCUCAAACACAAGCUUUGCAAGUCUUAACCAAGCCAUGUAAUGGUUCAUGGAAAGGGAAAGGUAGCAAGGAAAUUAAGGGAAAUCAAGAUGGUCACGAGAGAAGCAAAAAGGAGCAACCAGUAAAGGAAAAUCCAAAGUACACAUUAAGUGCCUUCGUUGUCACAGAUUUGGCCAUUAUAAGUCAAAAUGUAGGACCAAUAUGAGCAAAAAAGAGAAAGCAAAUUAUGUUGAGCAAGAUGAGAAAGAAGAUGGGACCUCUUUAUUGAUGGUGUGCCAUACCGGAGAAGAAAAUACCAAGAAAGUGUGUUAUUUAGACACCGGGUGUAGCAAUCACAUGUGUGGAGAUAAGCAGAUUUUCACCGAGCUUGAUGAAACUCUCAGUGACACAGUAAAGUUUGGUGAUCAUUCAACCAUGGAAGUUAAAGGCAAAGGUAAAAUCAGUAUUCAAACAAAAUCAGGUCAGAACAAUCUAUUCAAAAUAUUUUGUUCCUGACCUGAUUUGAAAACUAACUUACUAAGUAUUGGACAACUACAAGAUAAAGACUAUGAAAUUAUGAUAACAAAUGCAGUAUGUCAGUGAAAGAUGUUGAGAUAGCACUGAUUUUACAAGCGAAGAUGACCAACAACAAGAUGUUUCUUGCUUAUUUGCAGAAUUCAAAGUUUAAUUCCUUAGUGGCUAAACAAGAGAGCUUGGCUUGGCUUUGGCACAAUAGAUUUGGCCAUUUACAUUUUGGAGGAUUACAACAAAAGAAUAUGGUAAGAGCACUUCCCAAAAUUGAAUUGCCUUCACGUGUUUGUGAAGAAUGCAUUACCGAUAAAGAACGCAAAGAUGCAUUUCCAAAAGGGGAAGCUAGGAGAGCUCAAAAUAUACUAAAAUUGGUGCAUACAAAUCUUUGUGGACCAGUUACUCCUGAAUCCAAUGGAGGUAAACAUUAUUUUAUAACAUUUAUUAAUGACUUUAGUCAAAAGAAAAAGUGCUAUUUUUUACAGAAUAAAUCAAAAGCAUUUCAAGCAUUCAAACAAUUUAAGAUGCUUGUUGAAAAAGAAUAUAAUUGGUUCAUUAGGAUGUUUAGAUUUGACUGAGGAUGAGAAUUUAACUCUUCUGAAUUGAUAAAAUUUUGUGAAGCUAAUGGCAUCAAAAGGCAGCUUACAAGCUCUUGUACACUGUGAAUACCCACUUUUGUCAGUCCUGUUUUCAACGUUUAAAAUAGACUCCGGUGUAUAUUUAUUAGAGUUAUUUUGUGUAAUAUCAAUAUGUAUGAUGUUAAAGUUUGUGUAUAACAGUACAAAUAUAUAUAUAUAUAUAUAUAUAUAAAUUACAAACAUUGAAAUUUCAUGAACACUUACUUUCCUUGUAAUGAACAAACAAAAAACAACAGCUAAAUCAAACAAUAUCAUGUUAAUCCUCAAAGCUUAAUCGCAAUCAUACCAAUAAUUAAGUAGAAGCAAUUUGGAAUUAUCAACCAGUGAGUUAACUCAAAAAUAGUGUUCACUCUUUAACUUAUCAACUAAAACACUCAUAUAAUAUCCAUCAUUAUCCGAUCUAGUAAACCUGGAAAAAAAUAAAAUAAAAGAAAGGGGACCCCUGAAUUAUCUAACCACCGUGAGACCACUGAAACUGCACCGAUGACAACCGGAGAAGAUGAAGAAGAAAACAGAGAAGCCAACUUGUUCCAGUGCCCCUAACCACCGUGAAACCAGGGUGUUACGUCAAAAAUCAUGCCGGCGUGUCAACCGGAGAAGAAGAAGGAAGGACGGUGGUUCAAGGAACCGUCAUCCUCACCCCGCCGUCGGAACCACGGAGGCUCCACCUCCAUGGCUAAGCCAUAUCCAGGCAGAGACGUGCCACCUCGCAGUCGAGUGGACUCAAGAUCGUAAAGUUGUGACCACCACCGUAAGGGGCGUUGUUUCUUCUGUUAUCUCCAUCGUCCCUUCACCCAGCAGCAUCCCCAUCACCAAAGGCUCUUGGCGGCUCAAUGAAGAAGAGAAUCUCUUUACCCUAUUUCUCCCAAACAAUGAACCUGAUUAUACAAAAUAUGAGCCUCUAAUUUUUACCCAACCUAAUUUGCUUCCCCUUGGGCCUUUUCUUUUUCGUUUUAAGCAUUAAAGCCCAU
rnacentral:lncRNA from 1 species